GACGAACGCUGGCGGCGUGCUUAACACAUGCAAGUCGAACGGAAAGGCCCUGCUUUUGUGGGGUGCUCGAGUGGCGAACGGGUGAGUAACACGUGAGUAACCUGCCCUUGACUUUGGGAUAACUUCAGGAAACUGGGGCUAAUACCGGAUAGGAGCUCCUGCUGCAUGGUGGGGGUUGGAAAGUUUCGGCGGUUGGGGAUGGACUCGCGGCUUAUCAGCUUGUUGGUGGGGUAGUGGCUUACCAAGGCUUUGACGGGUAGCCGGCCUGAGAGGGUGACCGGCCACAUUGGGACUGAGAUACGGCCCAGACUCCUACGGGAGGCAGCAGUGGGGAAUAGUGCGCAAUGGGCGGAAGCCUGAUGCAGCAACGCCGCGUGCGGGAUGACGGCCUUCGGGUUGUAAACCGCUUUCGCCUGUGACGAAGCGUGAGUGACGGUAAUGGGUAAAGAAGCACCAGCUAACUACGUG
rnacentral:rRNA from 1 species